UUGAUCAUGGCUCAGGACGAACGCUGGCGGCGUGCCUAAUACAUGCAAGUCGAACGCUUCUUUUUCCACCGGAGCUUGCUCCACCGGAAAAAGAGGAGUGGCGAACGGGUGAGUAACACGUGGGUAACCUGCCCAUCAGAAGGGGAUAACACUUGGAAACAGGUGCUAAUACCGUAUAACAAUCGAAACCGCAUGGUUUUGAUUUGAAAGGCGCUUUCGGGUGUCGCUGAUGGAUGGACCCGCGGUGCAUUAGCUAGUUGGUGAGGUAACGGCUCACCAAGGCGACGAUGCAUAGCCGACCUGAGAGGGUGAUCGGCCACAUUGGGACUGAGACACGGCCCAAACUCCUACGGGAGGCAGCAGUAGGGAAUCUUCGGCAAUGGACGAAAGUCUGACCGAGCAACGCCGCGUGAGUGAAGAAGGUUUUCGGAUCGUAAAACUCUGUUGUUAGAGAAGAACAAGGAUGAGAGUAACUGUUCAUCCCUUGACGGUAUCUAACCAGAAAGCCACGGCUAACUACGUGCCAGCAGCCGCGGUAAUACGUAGGUGGCAAGCGUUGUCCGGAUUUAUUGGGCGUAAAGCGAGCGCAGGCGGUUUCUUAAGUCUGAUGUGAAAGCCCCCGGCUCAACCGGGGAGGGUCAUUGGAAACUGGGAGACUUGAGUGCACAAGAGGAGAGUGGAAUUCCAUGUGUAGCGGUGAAAUGCGUAGAUAUAUGGAGGAACACCAGUGGCGAACGCGGCUCUCUGGUCUGUAACUGACGCUGAKGCUCGAAAGCGUGGGGAGCARACAKGAUUAGAUACCCUGGUAGUSCACRCCGUAWACGAUGAGUGCUAAGUGUUGGASGGUUUCCGCCCUUCAGUGCUGCAGCUAACGCAUUAAGCACUCCGCCUGGGGAGUACGACCGCAAGGUUGAAACUCAAAGGAAUUGACGGGGGCCCGCACAAGCGGUGGAGCAUGUGGUUUAAUUCGAAGCAACGCGAAGAACCUUACCAGGUCUUGACAUCCUUUGACCACUCUAGAGAUAGAGCUUCCCCUUCGGGGGCAAAGUGACAGGUGGUGCAUGGUUGUCGUCAGCUCGUGUCGUGAGAUGUUGGGUUAAGUCCCGCAACGAGCGCAACCCUUAUUGUUAGUUGCCAUCAUUUAGUUGGGCACUCUAGCAAGACUGCCGGUGACAAACCGGAGGAAGGUGGGGAUGACGUCAAAUCAUCAUGCCCCUUAUGACCUGGGCUACACACGUGCUACAAUGGGAAGUACAACGAGUCGCAAAGUCGCGAGGCUAAGCUAAUCUCUUAAAGCUUCUCUCAGUUCGGAUUGUAGGCUGCAACUCGCCUACAUGAAGCCGGAAUCGCUAGUAAUCGCGGAUCAGCACGCCGCGGUGAAUACGUUCCCGGGCCUUGUACACACCGCCCGUCACACCACGAGAGUUUGUAACACCCGAAGUCGGUGAGGUAACCUUUUGGAGCCAGCCGCCUAAGGUGGGAUAGAUGAUUGGGGUGAAGUCGUAACAAGGUAGCCGUA
rnacentral:rRNA from 1 species